rnacentral:rRNA from 1 species
CCUACGGGAGGCAGCAGUGGGGAAUAUUGCACAAUGGGGGAAACCCUGAUGCAGCGACGCCGCGUGCGUGAAGAAGUAUUUCGGUGUGUAAAGCUCUAUCAGCAGGGGAGAAAAUGAAGAUACGUGACUAAGAAGCCCCGGCUAACUACGUGCCAGCAGGCGCGGUAAGACGUAGGGGGCCAGCGUUAUCCGGAUGUACUGGGUGUAAAGGGGGCGUAGACGGCAGAGCAAGUCUGAAGUGAAAGCCCGCGGCACAACUUCGGGACUGCUUGGGAAACUGCGCGGCUAGAGUGCUGGAGAGGUAAGCGGAAUGCCUAGUGUAGCGGUGAAAUGCGUAGAUAUUAGGAGGAACACCAGUGGCGAAGGCGGCUUACUGGACAGCAACUGACGUUGAGGCUCGAAAGCGUGGGGAGCAAACAGGAUUAGAUACCCUUGUAGUC